rnacentral:rRNA from 1 species
GGUUAAGCGACUAAGCGUACACGGUGGAUGCCCUGGCAGUCAGAGGCGAUGAAGGACGUGCUAAUCUGCGAUAAGCGUCGGUAAGGUGAUAUGAACCGUUAUAACCGGCGAUUUCCGAAUGGGGAAACCCAGUGUGUUUCGACACACUAUCAUUAACUGAAUCCAUAGGUUAAUGAGGCGAACCGGGGGAACUGAAACAUCUAAGUACCCCGAGGAAAAGAAAUCAACCGAGAUUCCCCCAGUAGCGGCGAGCGAACGGGGAGCAGCCCAGAGCCUGAAUCAGUGUGUGUGUUAGUGGAAGCGUCUGGAAAGGCGCGCGAUACAGGGUGACAGCCCCGUACACAAAAAUGCACAUGCUGUGAGCUCGAUGAGUAGGGCGGGACACGUGGUAUCCUGUCUGAAUAUGGGGGGACCAUCCUCCAAGGCUAAAUACUCCUGACUGACCGAUAGUGAACCAGUACCGUGAGGGAAAGGCGAAAAGAACCCCGGCGAGGGGAGUGAAAAAGAACCUGAAACCGUGUACGUACAAGCAGUGGGAGCACGCUUAGGCGUGUGACUGCGUACCUUUUGUAUAAUGGGUCAGCGACUUAUAUUCUGUAGCAAGGUUAACCGAAUAGGGGAGCCGAAGGGAAACCGAGUCUUAACUGGGCGUUAAGUUGCAGGGUAUAGACCCGAAACCCGGUGAUCUAGCCAUGGGCAGGUUGAAGGUUGGGUAACACUAACUGGAGGACCGAACCGACUAAUGUUGAAAAAUUAGCGGAUGACUUGUGGCUGGGGGUGAAAGGCCAAUCAAACCGGGAGAUAGCUGGUUCUCCCCGAAAGCUAUUUAGGUAGCGCCUCGUGAAUUCAUCUCCGGGGGUAGAGCACUGUUUCGGCAAGGGGGUCAUCCCGACUUACCAACCCGAUGCAAACUGCGAAUACCGGAGAAUGUUAUCACGGGAGACACACGGCGGGUGCUAACGUCCGUCGUGAAGAGGGAAACAACCCAGACCGCCAGCUAAGGUCCCAAAGUCAUGGUUAAGUGGGAAACGAUGUGGGAAGGCCCAGACAGCCAGGAUGUUGGCUUAGAAGCAGCCAUCAUUUAAAGAAAGCGUAAUAGCUCACUGGUCGAGUCGGCCUGCGCGGAAGAUGUAACGGGGCUAAACCAUGCACCGAAGCUGCGGCAGCGACGCUUAUGCGUUGUUGGGUAGGGGAGCGUUCUGUAAGCCUGUGAAGGUGUGCUGUGAGGCAUGCUGGAGGUAUCAGAAGUGCGAAUGCUGACAUAAGUAACGAUAAAGCGGGUGAAAAGCCCGCUCGCCGGAAGACCAAGGGUUCCUGUCCAACGUUAAUCGGGGCAGGGUGAGUCGACCCCUAAGGCGAGGCCGAAAGGCGUAGUCGAUGGGAAACAGGUUAAUAUUCCUGUACUUGGUGUUACUGCGAAGGGGGGACGGAGAAGGCUAUGUUGGCCGGGCGACGGUUGUCCCGGUUUAAGCGUGUAGGCUGGUUUUCCAGGCAAAUCCGGAAAAUCAAGGCUGAGGCGUGAUGACGAGGCACUACGGUGCUGAAGCAACAAAUGCCCUGCUUCCAGGAAAAGCCUCUAAGCAUCAGGUAACAUCAAAUCGUACCCCAAACCGACACAGGUGGUCAGGUAGAGAAUACCAAGGCGCUUGAGAGAACUCGGGUGAAGGAACUAGGCAAAAUGGUGCCGUAACUUCGGGAGAAGGCACGCUGAUACGUAGGUGAAGUCCCUCGCGGAUGGAGCUGAAAUCAGUCGAAGAUACCAGCUGGCUGCAACUGUUUAUUAAAAACACAGCACUGUGCAAACACGAAAGUGGACGUAUACGGUGUGACGCCUGCCCGGUGCCGGAAGGUUAAUUGAUGGGGUCAGCGCAAGCGAAGCUCUUGAUCGAAGCCCCGGUAAACGGCGGCCGUAACUAUAACGGUCCUAAGGUAGCGAAAUUCCUUGUCGGGUAAGUUCCGACCUGCACGAAUGGCGUAAUGAUGGCCAGGCUGUCUCCACCCGAGACUCAGUGAAAUUGAACUCGCUGUGAAGAUGCAGUGUACCCGCGGCAAGACGGAAAGACCCCGUGAACCUUUACUAUAGCUUGACACUGAACAUUGAGCCUUGAUGUGUAGGAUAGGUGGGAGGCUUNNNNNNNNNNNNNNNNNNNNNNNNNNNNNNNNNNNNNNNNNNNNNNNNNNNNNNNNNNNNNNNNNNNNNNNNNNNNNNNNAUCCGGGUUGCGGACAGUGUCUGGUGGGUAGUUUGACUGGGGCGGUCUCCUCCUAAAGAGUAACGGAGGAGCACGAAGGUUGGCUAAUCCUGGUCGGACAUCAGGAGGUUAGUGCAAUGGCAUAAGCCAGCUUGACUGCGAGCGUGACGGCGCGAGCAGGUGCGAAAGCAGGUCAUAGUGAUCCGGUGGUUCUGAAUGGAAGGGCCAUCGCUCAACGGAUAAAAGGUACUCCGGGGAUAACAGGCUGAUACCGCCCAAGAGUUCAUAUCGACGGCGGUGUUUGGCACCUCGAUGUCGGCUCAUCACAUCCUGGGGCUGAAGUAGGUCCCAAGGGUAUGGCUGUUCGCCAUUUAAAGUGGUACGCGAGCUGGGUUUAGAACGUCGUGAGACAGUUCGGUCCCUAUCUGCCGUGGGCGCUGGAGAACUGAGGGGGGCUGCUCCUAGUACGAGAGGACCGGAGUGGACGCAUCACUGGUGUUCGGGUUGUCAUGCCAAUGGCACUGCCCGGUAGCUAAAUGCGGAAGAGAUAAGUGCUGAAAGCAUCUAAGCACGAAACUUGCCCCGAGAUGAGUUCUCCCUGACUCCUUGAGAGUCCUGAAGGAACGUUGAAGACGACGACGUUGAUAGGCCGGGUGUGUAAGCGCAGCGAUGCGUUGAGCUAACCGGUACUAAUGAACCGUGAGGCUUAACCUU